UUUAAGGGAUUUUUGUAGUAGCUGAAUUUGAAACUACGUGAUUGCUUCAGUAGCUGCACCCUAGCCUAGCCCAAGAGAGUACCUAGGCCAGCACGCGCCUGGUUGGGACAAUGUAUAAUGUUGAGUUGGUGCGGUGUUUGGAUUCCUACCAGCGAGGGACAUGUUAGGUGGUGCCGGUGUUCAAUUGGAUGGACAGCUUGCAUGUCGGGCACAUGGAGCUUGUAUUUGGUUGGUUGCAUGAGUCCUUUGUUUGGUCACCAUGGCUGAGGAUGGUGAGAACACAUGUUGAGGUCGGGGAGGGGAGCGGAGAUUUUGCUAUGUCCUAGAGGCAGUGUGCAUGAUGGAUGAAUAAGUCUUAUACAUUUGAAUAUGAACUAAAUGCAUCACUUUUAGUGUUGAAGGAUAUAAAUUGCACCAAUGUACUAAUACUAGCAUGAAUAGUAAAAUAAGGUUGAUGAAAAGCUGAACAAAGAUAACUGCAUCUCUAUACUGAUUAAACCAUUAAUUAGCCAUUACAUGAGGACCUUGGUUGGGGUAUCAUCUUAGUUUUCUUUUAAUCCUUUGGUGUUGUAUCCAAAGAAGGCGUUCAAUUCAGCUAUGGCUCUUUCUCUACCGGUGUAACUUUUGAGCAUUUGUUAGGGAAUUCCACUACCUGCUCUUGGCAUGAUUGCCAAGUAGCAU
rnacentral:lncRNA from 1 species